rnacentral:lncRNA from 1 species
GGAGGGGGCCAGAAUUAGAGCCCAGGGAGGUGGCUGAAUGUCAAAAGUAAAAAGGUUGAAAAGCCAAUUUUCCAGGCGCGCUCUGCCCCCCCGCGCCGGUUGCCCAGGCCGUAAAUCAGCGGCCGGCGGCGAGGGCGGGAGCAGCCCCCUGUGCGGCGGGCGCGGCGGCCCCGCCCGGGCCCUGCACGCCUCCCGGUGGGCCCCGAAUCGAUCCACAGCCGAGCUGAGGAUGUCACCGCACUAAAUAUUUACUGAUCACACACAAAUAGCCGGGGCUCGAACGAUUUUCCUCUGUGAGGAGAGCGCAGAGAGAAGGGUAAAUCAUUUUAUUAGUGUGGAUAAAGCCCAGAGCACACUCCGGGCUGGAGUGUUUUAAGAUGUGUCUUCAACGGGAUGAAAAGAGUUAGGGAAAUCGAUACGGAGUGAUUAGAAGCCCCCGGAGUGACAAAGGGGGGACGGGGCUUUCUGGGAUUUGGCGGUGCCGAGUGGGAGGGAAGCCAGCAUCGAGGAGGGCGGCCCGACCACCGCCGGGGGCUCCCGGGUGCGCAGGCCUGGUCCCCUCUCCUCGACGGGAGACGCCAGGGCGCGGGACCCGGGACGUGCGUCGCCGCCUAGCUUUGCGGGGCCGCCACCAGCUAGGGAUGCGCGGGCCGCGGUGGGGCUGAGGACCUGGGCGCCAAGGGCUCCACGCCGCGAGCAGCAGUGGUUCGGUGGCCACGGGAUGCGUGGCAGUUGUAGCGUGGGGACGCGGGCGCUUUUCCCACCAGCGAUCUCUCCAGGCGGCCUAAGGUUGCAAAGGUGUGGCCUAAACCGACAGCUUUCUGCCUCUGGCGUUUGGGGGCUCCUCCCAGCCGACACCCAAAGCUCCCUGAACUUUCUCCGCGGUCCGUCUCUGCUUCUCCUCGCCUUUAUUGUGUAUAAAGAGGACCCCGUGCCCAGCCCCACUAUCUGCUUCCCUACCCAACCCCUCGGUGUCAGGGCGCCCGCCCGGAGUCGGAACCCGCUGGGGACUGCGUGGCGAGUGGACUCCAGGCUCCAUAAUGGAAUCAAGAAGGCAUGGAAUUCUACCCCAGAAACAAGCUGGGAGGGCGUCGUUCCAGCUUCCCGCUAAACUCCGAGUUCUGGAGAAGCACAGGUGGUCAAGCAGACGAAGCUUGUAAGAUUUCAGGAGUGGCAAAUUCAAGGCAAGUAUCGCAAAUGUGUGAAGGUCUGAGAGAAAGUCACCAGUGAGGCCACCUAGAGAACUGGAGGGGAAGGCUCAUUCUCCCCAGAGUGCUACUGCAUGAGAGCUUUGUAUAUAGACAGCUUUGUCCCUUGUAAGGAAGCACAAAUUCCUAUCUCCAGGUCAUAUGUCCAUUGGGUUAGAUUCUCUCCUCAGAACAAUAAAACUGAAUCUUCUCCUUUUCCCCCAGUGAUAGACUAUCCAAUACUUGAAGAUAACUGUCACACUCCUCAACCUCUUGCUUUCUUUUAUUGGCUAAAUUUCCCAGUUCUCCAUGAGACACAGCACCAGCAACUUUGCUAAAUUGGCCAGCUUUGCUGGUUUGCCCCAGAAAAUCUUUGGAAAUAUCUCAGAACAAGUAAAAUACUCCAGAGUUCCAGUCGGCCAGCGUCCACAGUGUCUGCCCACCGUAUUGUGUCACUAGUGGUAAACAGAAUCUUUCAUCAGGGAAGAGUCACCAUACCCUGGAAUCAGAUCUCAAUCAUAUGCAACUUUUAGAGGGGAUUAUUGCAUCCCCUCAUUUAAGAACAUCUCAGGUUUAUCCCCAUUAAAUUUCACUUCGCUUUGACUUUUUGGUGGCUGUUAAAAUCUCUCUCUCUCUCUCAUCUUCUGUUACUUUACAAAUUGAAUAGCAUUUUAAAAAAUAGUUUUGCCCAGUGAUUGAACUAAGUUUUGUAGAUGUCAGGGUUUCUAGAGUAUCUGCUGGGGCAGGGCAGUGUGGUGUCUUCAGUGUCUCUAGGGACCAUGUUGAUAAUGGUUCCGUAUUUAUUUCUUCAAUGAACUCAUAAGUAAUAAUUAAUAGAGGGGUCUCUGGAAUGAGAUUUGCUUGGGUUUAAAAUGCUAGGGCUGCUAAUAUACUUAGUGUAUGGCAUUGGGAAUGUUCAUUUAUUUGUG